GAUGAACGCUGGCGGCGUGCCUAAUACAUGCAAGUCGAGCGGACGGACGAGAAGCUUUCUUCUCUUAUUUUAGCGUCGGACGGGUGAGUAACACGUGGGUAACAUACCUAUAAGACUGGGGUAACUUCGUGAAACCGGUGCUAAUACCGGAUAAUCUUCUCAACCGCAUGGUUCAAGAGUUAAAGACGGUCUUGCUUUCGCUGAUAGAUGAAUCCGCUCUGCAUUAGCUAGUGGGUAAGGUAACGGCUUACCAAGGCAACGAUUCCUAGCCGACCUGAGAGGAUGAUCAGCCACACUGGAACUGAGACACGGUCCAGACUCCUACGGGAGGCAGCAGUAGGGAAUAUUGCGCAAUGGGCGAAAGCCUGACGGAGCAACGCCGCGUGAAUGAAGAAGGUCUUCGGAUCGUAAAACUCUGUUAUCAGGGAAGAACAUAUGUGUAAGUAAAUCUGCACAUAUUGACGGUACCUACUCAGAAAGCCCCGGCUAACUCCGUG
rnacentral:rRNA from 1 species